UGGACCAGACUUUGAUUCUGGCUCAGGAUGAACGCUAGCUACAGGCUUAACACAUGCAAGUCGAGGGGCAGCAUGACGAUAGCUUGCUAUUGUUGAUGGCGACCGGCGCACGGGUGAGUAACGCGUAUCCAACCUGCCCUUGUCCAUCGGAUAACCCGUCGAAAGACGGCCUAACACGAUAUGCAGUUCUCAGCAGGCAUCUAACGAGAACGAAAUGUAAAGGAGAAGGAUGGGGAUGCGUCUGAUUAGCUUGUUGGCGGGGUAACGGCCCACCAAGGCGACGAUCAGUAGGGGUUCUGAGGGGAAGGUCCCCCACAUUGGAACUGAGACACGGUCCAAACUCCUACGGGAGGCAGCAGUGAGGAAUAUUGGUCAAUGGGCGAGAGCCUGAACCAGCCAAGUAGCGUGCAGGAUGACGGCCCUAUGGGUUGUAAACUGCUUUUAUGCGGGGAUAAAGUGAGCCACGUGUGGCUUAUUGCAGGUACCGCAUGAAUAAGGACCGGCUAAUUCCGUGCCAGCAGCCGCGGUAAUACGGAAGGUCCGGGCGUUAUCCGGAUUUAUUGGGUUUAAAGGGAGCGUAGGCCGUCUGAUAAGCGUGUUGUGAAAUGUCGGGGCUCAACCUGGGCAUUGCAGCGCGAACUGUCAGACUUGAGUGCGCGGGAAGUAGGCGGAAUUCGUCGUGUAGCGGUGAAAUGCUUAGAUAUGACGAAGAACUCCGAUUGCGAAGGCAGCCUGCUGUAGCGCAACUGACGCUGAAGCUCGAAAGCGUGGGUAUCGAGCAGGAUUAGAUACCCUGGUAGUCCACGCGGUAAACGAUGGAUGCUCGCUGUUUGCGUCUGACGUAAGCGGCCAAGCGAAAGCGUUAAGCAUCCCACCUGGGGAGUACGCCGGCAACGGUGCAACUCAAAUGAAUUGACGGA
rnacentral:rRNA from 1 species